CCUACACUACGAACAUACUAUUUACAGACACUUCACACAACUACAGCAGGAACUACUUACAGACUUAUCCAAGGUAAGUUCAAUAAAGCAUAAAAAAAAAACUUGUACGCUAGUCAAAACUAAAGUGUGAAUUUUUGAGAAGUCAAAGUUAAUUACAAAUUUUAUGCCAAAAUUUCUGCUAUGUUGGCAUAAUUUUUAACUUCACUUUGAAUUCCUGACAGCUCACACUGUAGUGAUUAGCCCGUAUCGUACUCAGCGUACUUAUCAGAACAACCACGUGUAUUGUAUUCUAUGGAGUGAUAACUGUAUUGUAUAGAUUUACAUUGAUUACAAGUUAAUACAAUGUACCGAUAAUAAGACUGUUAGCGACGUGCAAUAUAGCUAAAAUUCCUGUAUAUAUGUCUACCUUAGCCCAUAGCCCCAUCUUAUUGUUUCUGUAAUGACAGGUGUUACAGUCUCUAGAAUAAUAUUAUUCACUAAUUCAAAUGUCAAUAUCACAUGUGCUCUCACAAAAAAAAAAUCUAAAUUCUUCAAAAACUAACAGUGGUGCUAUAGGAAACAUAUAUAUCUGAAUAUAUUGGUGUGGUUUAUUUGUGAACAUGCAGGUUAGUGUUAAACACACACACGCUAUAAGGGUGCUGCUGGGACCAAUAUACAAUCCAGCGCACUCACAAUGCCAGCUUCAAAGCCCAUAGAAUGCCACACCUCAUAAUCUUCUAAUGUUUGCAUGUUCAGGUGAGUGCACCCAUCUUGGAUUUAUAUUUGGGAGUCCAGGCCAACUCCCCGGGUUUGCACCCCUCCCUGUCACAGGUACUUCAUUCAGGGCCUUAUUUAACCUGCCACCUCAACCUUCAAUCUCAUAAGAACAGGUUUAGGUUGUUAGGAUAGGACCUGCCAAGAAUGAGGUACCUUGGCGUUGUGGCAGGCUUAUGCAAAGUAUGAUCUUACACUGUAACUAUUUUUCUUUUGUCAGAUGUUUUUUAAAAACUAUGAAAGUGUUUGAGCGUCUUUGAAGCUGGUGUCUGAGUGAAUUGAUUCUGGAGGUUUACAUAUACAUAUUAUAAUUUUUAUUCUGUAAGUUUUCAUCACCAGGGUUCUUCUCAAAUCUUAUCUGUCCAAGUAAAUUACGCGCUGUUACAAUUCACAAGCAGACUUUUUUUUAAAAACCCAUGUAUCUAAUUAUAUUUUCAAUCCUCCUUAUAUAUAUCCGACACACAGGAUAUGGGUCAGGGGCACGCCAACUCCAAACCUGAAGAGGUGGAUGAGUCCAUGGUGUUAGUUGGAAGUGAGGAAGAUUUCAAAAAAUCAAAGAGAAUCAAAGCUACAGUAAAUGAUAGAGAGGUUGUGAUAUUUUAUCACGAAGGGAAAUACCACGCAUUGGACUUGCGCUGUUACCGUAAGCACACUAAUCAAAUA